UACGUAGGGAGCAAGCGUUGUUCGGAUUUACUGGGCGUAAAGGGCGCGUAGGCGGCGCGGUAAGUCACUUGUGAAAUCUCUGAGCUUAACUCAGAACGGCCAAGUGAUACUGCAGUGCUAGAGUGCAGAAAGGGCAAUCGGAAUUCUUGGUGUAGCGGUGAAAUGCGUAGAUAUCAAGAGGAACACCUGCGGCGAAGGCGGGUUGCUGGGCUGACACUGACGCUGAGGCGCGAAAGCUAGGGGAGCGAACGGG
rnacentral:rRNA from 1 species